rnacentral:rRNA from 1 species
GAUGAACGUUGGCGGCGUGCCUAAUACAUGCAAGUCGAACGAAGACUGUAGUAAUACUGUCUUAGUGGCGAACGGGUGAGUAACGCGUGGGUGACCUGCCCCGAAGUGUGGGAUAACAGUCCGAAAGGAUUGCUAAUACUGCAUAAUAUCCAAGAGAUUAGAUGCUUUUUGGAUUAAAAGGAGUAAUUCGCUUCGGGAGGGGCCCGCGUCCCAUCAGCUAGUUGGUAAGGUAAUGGCUUACCAAGGCGAUGACGGGUAGGGGACCUGAGAGGGUGGCCCCCCACAAUGGAACUGAAACACGGUCCAUACACCUACGGGUGGCAGCAGUAGGGAAUAUUAGUAAUGGGCGAAAGCCUGAACUAGCAACGCCGCGUGUGCGAAGAAGGCCUUCGGGUCGUAAAGCACUUUUUGAGAGGAUGAGGAAGGACGGUACUCUCAGAUAAGUCUCGGCUAACUACGUG